CAGUAGCCGCGGGAAUACGGAGGGUGCAAGCGUUAAUCGGAAUUACUGGGCGUAAAGCGCACGCAGGCGGUCUGUCAAGUCAGAUGUGAAAUCCCCGGGCUUAACCUGGGAACUGCAUUUGAAACUGGCAGGCUAGAGUCUUGUAGAGGGGGGUAGAAUUCCAGGUGUAGCGGUGAAAUGCGUAGAGAUCUGGAGGAAUACCGGUGGCGAAGGCGGCCCCCUGGACAAAGAUUGACGCUCAGGUGCGAAAGCGUGGGGAGCAAACAGGAUUAGAUACCCGUGUAGUCCCUGUCUCUUAUAC
rnacentral:rRNA from 1 species